rnacentral:misc_RNA from 1 species
AAAAAAUUGCAAUUAAGCAAAUUCCAGAAUUUCUCAAUCUGACACUCUGAGUAUAUCAGCUAACUAUCUUUAAAAACUUCAUGAAAUAUAGAUGGAUAAUCAAAUGGAAUUAGCACUAAUACAUACUAUGGAUACUGCAAUUUACAAAUAUGUAUUCUAUAGAUCAGAUCAUAAGCUACUUCACGGCAAUCUAAGAGGUAGAUAUUCCAAUGUGUCAUGUCGAAAGGACCUAUCUAGCUGCCUCUAUAUCAUUGUUUCCACCCGCAAGGCUGUUCAAGUCCUUCGAGUAUUGCUCAAUAGCUUUCACAACCUCAAAGUAGCGACGUCUGGAAGUUGGCAGCCUUGACAAUGUCAAACAAAAGCCCUGCAACCUUCUACUUAUACCCUCCAACUGAGCUCGUUUAAUCUUAUCCUGAGGAGGGAUGCCACCAUUCUGCCAAGAUUCAAUUCUUGCUGGUUCACCUCCAUAGAGGCAGUGUUUGUAGAAGUACAACUCCUCAUUUUUGUUCAAAUUUAGACUCUUAAUCUGUUCUUUCAUGAUACACAUUGGCUCAUAGAGCCAAUUGAAAACCCGCCCUUCAGGUCUAUUCACACUUGUUAUCUCAACAUUAUCACGGAGGACAAAGCCACUGGAAUCAGUCUUAAUGGAGCAGAGGAAGCACUCAAGAAAUGCAUAUGCAGGAAUUCCAAUGUUGAUAAUAUUUGAUUUUGAGUUUUGCCAGGCAUCUAGAUCCGAAACUCCAAUGGCUUUAUCUCUAAGAAGCUCUUUCCCAGUGUCUUCAAAUGCUUUAAAGAAACUAUCCCAUAUCACGGCAGUCUUCAGUGUAUUAGCUUUCUCUGUAGAAGUUGUUUUAAAUGUUUCACCAAUAUGAGCACCAUCAAACUGUUCCUGCAGUCUCUUUACUGAAAGUGAAUAUUGCAGUGAACAACUGGGACUAACUCGUUCGCGAUAUUUAGGUCUGGG